AUUGAACGCUGGCGGCAUGCUUUACACAUGCAAGUCGAACGGCAGCGGGGGCUUCGGCCUGCCGGCGAGUGGCGAACGGGUGAGUAAUGCAUCGGAACGUGCCCAUGUCGUGGGGGAUAACGUAGCGAAAGCUACGCUAAUACCGCAUACGUCCUGAGGGAGAAAGCGGGGGGAUCUUUGGACCUCGCGCGAUUGGAGCGGCCGAUGUCGGAUUAGCUAGUUGGUGGGGUAAAGGCCCACCAAGGCGACGAUCCGUAGCUGGUCUGAGAGGAUGAUCAGCCACACUGGAACUGAGACACGGUCCAGACUCCUACGGGAGGCAGCAGUGGGGAAUAUUGGACAAUGGGCGCAAGCCUGAUCCAGCAAUGCCGCGUGAGUGAUGAAGGCCUUAGGGUUGUAAAGCUCUUUUACCAGGGAUGAUAAUGACAGUACCUGGAGAAUAAGCUCCGGCUAACUCCGUGCCAGCAGCCGCGGU
rnacentral:rRNA from 1 species